rnacentral:lncRNA from 12 species
UGAUUUCCUGAUUAUUAAAUAAUUUGGCAAUAAACCCUCUGGUACAGGAAGAAGGAAGUGGGUCCUCUACUCUGAGUUUCCAGGUCACCUUCUCUUCAUCCUGCAAUUCUUUCCUGCUUUGCCUCCUAACCUUCCCACAGCUCCUUCUCAG